CACUCACACACUCGCUCUGCCUCCCUGACACAGACUCUCUACUUAGUGCGUUGGAGAGAGGACUGAGGCUCACACUAUCAGCACAGCUUCUCAAUGGGGGGAGGCAGCCAAGAGCGGACAGAGCAGUCAUUCCACUGGAGCCUUCCGCUGCCCGUGUGAGAAGGAGCUGACAAGUGAAAGGAGGUAAAUUAGCCCCCUGUCAUCACAACAAAAGGAGUUUCUACAGACGCAGAAGAGACACGGACUGGAGGAAGGAGAGGACAGGAGAUUUUGCGCGCAUUUGGCCGAUACAGCAGUGACAUGAUCAGCCUCCCAUCACCUCAAAUCCUGGGCAGUUUGUGACACAGACCCCCGGGUGUUUUGCUGUUGGUGACUGUGUUGCCAAGGAUUUCAAAAGGAACUGAGCAGCGUGGGGUCCACAGGAGAGAAUACUGAGAGAGAGAAAGGGGGGGAGUGGGUUGGAGAAACAGAAUAUUUGCCCCUUUUGCGCCGCUGUUCCACUUCUCUGGUGCUGGAAUUUCAGGAGGGAAUCCCUGGCUUCACAAUAUGGAUGGAUUUAAGACAGAGGAGUGAGUCUGCUGGGCAGGCAGGCAGUGAUUCUGACUGAGCUCCUUUCCUUCUGAACACACUGCUCAGACUCGGCCUUACCAUGUCCUGGUUGUUGGCCAUGUGGAUUAGCCUCGGCUUGCUGCUGUUGUGCCAGGCCACACUCUACCAGACCAUCCAGCAGCACCAUGUGGCCCGGCCCGGUCGCACCGACAUUCUCACCCUGGAGGGAGGUACAUGUGAGGUGAUCGCCGCCCACCGAUGCUGUAACAAGAAUCGCAUUGAGGAGCGCUCUCAGACAGUCAAGUGCUCCUGUUUACCGGGGAAAGUGGCCGGGACGACACGGAACAAACCCUCCUGUGUGGAUGCGUCCAUUGUGAUUGGGAAAUGGUGGUGUGAGAUGGAGCCAUGUCUGGAGGGAGAAGAGUGUAAGACUCUGCCCGACAACUCUGGAUGGAUGUGCUCCACUGGGAACAAAAUCAAGACCACAAGAAAUACCCAGCCAUACUCCCCUUUUUAGCUUCCGGAAGCAAAAUGCAGAGGAUGGGUCAACAGAAAUUGAGCUGCAUUCUUGCUUCUGUAAAGAGAGGGAGCCCUUCAUUGCCUGUUCUGUAGCAGCAGACAAGGCAGGCCCUUUUGUUUGUGGAAGUCACAGUGAGAGCGAGACUGGGGGAGCAACCUUCCAAAAAAAAAAAAAAACACUCGCCCACCAUAGAUCUGCAUUACCCGCUCCGCUCGCUAAAUAGAUCAAACCACUCCUGCUCCCUCCAAACAAUUACACUCCUUAAGAGAGACAGGCAGAACGAGUGGGCUGGGAAUGAAAGCAUCGUUUUUCCCCUGCUUUUGAUGACAGUGAGAAGAAUAUUGUCCAUGUGAUAACCUCACUGUUAAGUGUGCUCGAGUGAAUUUGAAUUUGUCAUCAAGGCGGGGAUGUCGUAACACAGCCCACAUCAGACGUUCAAUGUGGCUUUUCUUUAGCUUUUUCACACUGCAACAUAACUCAUGUACAGUAGUUGUUUUAAGCAUUUCUACUAUGGAAUAUGUAAUUGUUCAGAUUAGUGAGUGCAAAGCGUUGGACUCAAGUGGAUACUUCCACGCUUCACAGUGGGUCCCAUUCAACUUGUCCAACAUCAUUUACUUGCUGUUCAGAGACCCACGUGUCCCCCAUAAAAAAGGAGUGCAGGGCACUUUUUUAAGCAGAAUAGCACACUGACAGGAUGUAGCCCAUCUGUGAGACAGUUUCAGAGCAUAAGUGACCCACCAGCAGACGCAUCGCCAUCUAAUUUGUCAAAAUCGGGAGACGACACUCUGCAGUUGAUCAAAAUGAACUCCAAGCAGCCGUGCCACACACCGUUCAACUUCACAGAGAAAUCAUCUGCUCCAUCACUGUGCUUGACAACACCUCUCCUCCUCCUGCAGUCCUGUACAAUGUCAUCGCCAUGAUAAAGCACACACAAAUGGUCGACAGCAGUGCGUCUGGAUACUUUUUUUUGAAGUCGGAGCUCCCGGGAAUGGCCAGAUUGACCUACUUUUGACUUGUUGUACAGGUUUAGGGGGAGAAGGAGUGCUACUCAUUAAUCUAUCGCUAUUUCUUUCUCAUUGUCAAUGUCACAUUAAAUGGAUCUUGAUGUAUUUUGUUGUCUUGAGUCUUCUGUUUUUUUAGAGGGUGCUCUUUAGUGCUGUUUUAAGAAGGGUUUCUUAGCUGGCAUGAUUGAUUUGUUCAGCACCAAACAAGAAAGGGGGAAAGGGGAGACCAUGUUUGCACUAAAUUAUUUUGCUACGGCAGUUGUCCUUGGCUCCUUUUACUAACUGAAGUCUGAGUAAAUUGCAAUUUAAUGCGGCCGGAAAUUAGAAUGCAGCCGGCUUAGUUGCCAGCAAAGACGGGAUCGGCAGCAAAUCUUUGAGCAAUCCGCCGCUACCUGCUGCACUGUUCAUUUUGAAGAGACAGAGGACAAAAAAGAGGGCACUUAAUGUCUCACACACACACACACACACACACACACACACACACACACACACACACACGUGGGUUGAAAUGACAGCAUUUGCAUACAACCCCUCUUCU